ACGGGAGGCAGCAGUGGGGAAUAUUGCACAAUGGGGGAAACCCUGAUGCAGCGACGCCGCGUGAGUGAAGAAGUAUUUCGGUAUGUAAAGCGCUAUCAGCAGGAAAGAAAAUGACGGUACCUGACUAAGAAGCCCCGGCUAACUACGUGCCAGCAGCCGCGGUAAUACGUAGGGGGCAAGCGUUAUCCGGAUUUACUGGGUGUAAAGGGAGCGUAGACGGCUUUGCAAGUCUGAAGUGAAAGCCCGGGGCUCAACCCCGGAACUGCUUUGGAAACUGUAGAGCUAGAGUGCAGGAGAGGUAAGUGGAAUCCCUAGUGUAGCGGUGAAAUGCGUAGAUAUUAGGAGGAACACCAGUGGCGAAGGCGGCAUACUGGACAUUAACUGACGCUGAGGCGCGAAAGUGUGGGGAGCAAACAGGAUUAGAUACCCUGGUA
rnacentral:rRNA from 1 species